rnacentral:lncRNA from 1 species
GGCAACGGGCUUGGGUCCCCUUGUGCACUGUGGAAGGUUUGUUCUUUUGUUGUUUGCAAUAAAUCUUGCUACUGCUCACUCUUUGGGUCCACGCUGCUUUUCUGAGCUGUAACACUCACCGCGAAGAUUUGCAGUUUCACUCCUGAGCCCAGCGAGACCACGAGCCCCCCGGAAGGAACGAACUACAGACGCGUUGCCUUAAGAGCUAUAAUACUCACCGUGAAGGUCUGCAGCUUCACUCCUGAGCCAGCGAGACCACAAACCCACCAGAAGGAAGAAACUCCGAACACAUCUGAAUAUCAGAAGGGAGAGACUCCACACGCGCCACCUUAAGAGCUGUAACACUCACCGUGAGGGUCCGCGGCUUCAUUCUUGAAGUCAGUGAGACCAAGAACCCGCCAAUUCUGGACACACAAGGAGGGUACAAUGGUCUUGUUCAGUAGGUGCCAGAAGGUCCCACGGUAAGAAAGAAGGCAAACACCAACUCACAAGCACUUUCCUCUGCUUGUGACACAUUAGCUAUUUUUACAUUGUCCAAAGCAAGUCACAAGGCCAGAGUCCGUGGGAGGGGACCACCCAAGGGCAUGGAACGAGGGAACCAGGAACAAGUGGGAGCUGUUACUGCCACAACCAACUACACUGACCCAUUUCUCAGUGGUCUCCGAAUGUUUUUGAUCAUAUAUCCCUGUAUUAGUCUGUUCAGGCUGCCAUCACAAAAUAACACAGACAGAAUAGCUUAAACAACAGAAGUUUAUUUUUUCAUAGUUAUGGAAACCCAAGAUCAGGGUGCUGGUAUGGUUGGGUUGUGGUGGGGUCUCUCUUCCUGGUCUGCAGAUGGCUGCCUUCUUGCUAUGUUCUUACAUGGUCCUUCCUGGAUGUAUGCACAGGGAGAGAGAGCACAAUAUCUCUCUCAUCCCUCUCUUACAAGGUCACCAAUUCAAUUGAUUAGGACCCCACCCUUAUGACCUUAUUUAACCUUAAUUACCUCCUAAAAGCCCCAUGUCCAAAUACAGUCACACUGGGGAUUAGGGCUUCAACAUAUGUAUUUGUUGGAACACAGUUCAGUCC